rnacentral:rRNA from 1 species
AGUGGAAUUCCACGUGUAGCGGUGAAAUGCGUAGAGAUGUGGAGGAACACCAGUGGCGAAGGCGACUCUCUGGUCUGUAACUGACGCUGAGGCGCGAAAGCGUGGGGAGCGAACAGGAUUAGAUACCCUGGUAGUCCACGCCCUAAACGAUGAGUGCUAAGUGUUAGAGGGUUUCCUCCCUUUAGUGCUGCAGCUAACGCAUUAAGCACUCCGCCUGGGGAGUACGGUCGCAAGACUGAAACUCAAAGGAAUUGACGGGGGCCCGCACAAGCGGUGGAACGUGUGGUUUAAUUCGAAGCAACGCGAAGAACCUUACCAGGUCUUGACAUCCUUUGCCACUUCUAGAGAUAGAAGGUUCCCCUUCGGGGGACAAAGUGACAGGUGGUGCAUGGUUGUCGUCAGCUCGUGUCGUGAGAUGUUGGGUUAAGUCCCGCAACGAGCGCAACCCUUGAUCUUAGUUGCCAGCAUUCAGUUGGGCACUCUAAGGUGACUGCCGGUGACAAACCGGAGGAAGGUGGGGAUGACGUCAAAUCAUCAUGCCCCUUAUGACCUGGGCUACACACGUGCUACAAUGGAUGGUACAAAGGGCUGCGAAACCGCGAGGUUUAGCCAAUCCCAUAAAACCAUUCUCA